rnacentral:rRNA from 1 species
UACGUAGGGGGCAAGCGUUGUCCGGAUUUAUUGGGCGUAAAGAGCGUGUAGGCGGCCUGAAAGGUCAGCUGUGAAAACUCGAGGCUCAACCUCGAGACGUCGGUUGAAACCAUCUGGCUAGAGUCCGGAAGAGGAGUGUGGAAUUCCCGGUGUAGCGGUGAAAUGCGUAGAGAUCGGGAGGAACACCAGAGGCGAAGGCGGCGACCUGGACAAGUACUGACACUCAACUACGAAAGCGUGGGUAGCAAACAGG